rnacentral:rRNA from 1 species
UGGGGAAUAUUGCACAAUGGGGGAAACCCUGAUGCAGCAGCGCCGCGUGAGUGAUGACGGCCUUCGGGUUGUAAAGCUCUGUCUUCAGGGACGAUAAUGACGGUACCUGAGGAGGAAGCCACGGCUAACUACGUGCCAGCAGCCGCGGUAAUACGUAGGUGGCAAGCGUUGUCCGGAUUUACUGGGCGUAAAGGGAGCGUAGGCGGACUUUUAAGUGAGAUGUGAAAUACCCGGGCUCAACCUGGGUGCUGCAUUUCAAACUGGAAGUCUAGAGUGCAGGAGAGGAGAGUGGAAUUCCUAGUGUAGCGGUGAAAUGCGUAGAGAUUAGGAAGAACACCAGUGGCGAAGGCGACUCUCUGGACUGUAACUGACGCUGAGGCUCGAAAGCGUGGGGAGCAAACA